UACGUAGGUGGCUAGCGUUGUCCGGAUUUACUGGGCGUAAAGAGCGCGCAGGCGGUCGUUCAAGUCGAGUGUGAAAGCCCCCGGCUCAACUGGGGAGGGUCACUCGAUACUGAUCGACUCGAAGGCAGAAGAGGGAAGCGGAAUUCUCGGUGUAGCGGUGAAAUGCGUAGAUAUCGAGAGGAACACCUGCGGCGAAGGCGGGUUGCUGGGCUGACACUGACGCUGAUGCGCGAAAGCCAGGGGAGCGAACGGG
rnacentral:rRNA from 1 species